CGUUGACGGAGCGAAGCGACGUCAAACCGAUAAAACAGCAGUGUAAAGUGAGCCGCAGGGCGCUUUGCGCGACAGCGCAAAGGCAGGCGGUUUCGCGUAGCGAAAGCGAAUGCUUUGGGGUGGGGUGACUGCGUACCUUUUGUAUAAUGGGUCAGCGACUUAUAUUCUGUAGCAAGGUUAACCGAAUAGGGGAGCCGGAGGGAAACCGAGUCUUAAUUGGGCGUUAAGUUGCAGGGUAUAGACCCGAAACCCGGUGAUCUAGCCAUGGGCAGGUUGAAGGUUGGGUAACACUAACUGGAGGACCGAACCGACUAAUGUUGAAAAAUUAGCGGAUGACCUGUGGCUGGGGGUGAAAGGCCAAUCAAACCGGGAGAUAGCUGGUUCUCCCCGAAAGCUAUUUAGGUAGCGCCUCGUGAAUUCAUCUCCGGGGGUAGAGCACUGUUUCGGCUAGGGGGCCAUCCCGGCUUACCAACCCGAUGCAAACUGCGAAUACCGGAGAAUGUUAUCACGGGAGACACACGGCGGGUGCUAACGUCCGUCGUGAAGAGGGAAACAACCCAGACCGCCAGCUAAGGUCCCAAAGUCAUGGUUAAGUGGGAAACGAUGUGGGAAGGCCCAGACAGCCAGGAUGUUGGCUUAGAAGCAGCCAUCAUUUAAAGAAAGCGUAAUAGCUCACUGGUCGAGUCGGCCUGCGCGGAAGAUGUAACGGGGCUAAACCAUGCACCGAAGCUGCGGCAGCGACACUGUGUGUUGUUGGGUAG
rnacentral:rRNA from 1 species